rnacentral:rRNA from 1 species
CACGUAGGGUGCGAGCGUUGUCCGGAAUUAUUGGGCGUAAAGAGCUCGUAGGCGGUGUGUCGCGUCGGCCGUGAAAACCUGUAGCUUAACUGUGGGCGUGCGGGCGAUACGGGCAGACUGGAGUACUGCAGGGGAGACUGGAAUUCCUGGUGUAGCGGUGGAAUGCGCAGAUAUCAGGAGGAACACCGGUGGCGAAGGCGGGUCUCUGGGCAGUAACUGACGCUGAGGAGCGAAAGCGUGGGGAGCGAACAGG